rnacentral:rRNA from 1 species
UAUUUUUUUUAUUUUUUUUUAUUUUGGUAUUGCAUAUCAAUGGAUGUUGUUAUCAUAAAUAUGAAAAAUAGAAUUGAAAUGUAAAAAUUUGGAUAUGUUUUUUUUUUACGAAAUUAAAUAUAUUUUUUUUUUGUUAUUGAUAUAACGUAUUUCUAUUUCUGUUUGUUACUUUGUUAUGGUUUAAGUUAUUUUAUUUUUUUUAUUUGUUUUGAGUUUUUUAUGUAAAUGUUUUUUGUUUUUUUGCUUAUAUUUUUUUUUGUUUUGUUUUUUGUUGUUUUAGUUAAUCUUUUAACUAUUUUAUAAUUUCUAUUUUAGUAAAAUAUUUUUUGUGUUGUUUUUUUUUUUAAUUUUUAUUUUUGAACUUGGUGUAUUGUUAAAUGUUUAUUAAAAACUUAGGUUUUUAUGUAAAGUUGUCUUCUGCUCUAUGAUUUUUUUUAAAUGGCAGCCUUAGCGUGAUGGCAUAAAAGUAGCGUAAGUGAUUUGUUUUUUUAUUGUUUUCAAGUAUGAAUGAAGUUUUUAACAAUUUUUUUGUUUUUAUUUUUUUUGAAUUAUUUUUUUAAUUAAAAAUUAUUAGUUAUAAUAUAACAAAGAUAAGUCUUCGGAAAUUUUUUUUUAAUAAUUUAUUUUUUUAAUUGUUAAUAUUUUCUUGGGAAUGGAUUUUAUAAAAUUUUUUUUUUACUAUUUUUAUUUUUUUAAAAAUUACUCCGGAGUUAACAGGGUUGUGGACAUAUAAAUAGUUUUUAUAUUAGUGUGCUGCGCUACAUCGAUGUUGUAUAUUUUUUGUGAGAAGAGAGAGAUAUUUUUUUUUUUGAGACUGUUCUUCUUGUAUAAAAAUUGAACUUGAUAUUAGUUUAGUUCGUCGUGAGACAGAGCGGUUUAUCUUGUAUAUUUUUUUUUUUUUGCGGUAUUAGUACGAAAGGAAAGUGAUGCAGGUUAAUAUUUAUGACCUUUUUAUUUGGAUGGAUUUU